CAUCUAUUCCUCUCUUGGCAAAUGAAUGGCACGCCACUCUUCUCGCCCCUCUGUUGGUUUCCUCCAUCAGAAAAAGGGAAAAAGUUUCUCUGCGUCUCCGAUCUGCAGUGCGAGCCAGGGAGGUUGGCGUUGUCUCCUCCUCCUCCUCCUCCUCCUCCUCCUCCUCGCGCACGCGGCCGUCGAGAAGACGCACGGCUCCUCCCCUGUGCGGCCUCACCUCCUCGCGCUGAAUCCCCUGCUCCCCGUGUUAGAUCUGACCUUCAUAAUCCAAAAGAAGAGGUUUUAGUUCAAGCGGGCGAUAAUGGGGAUAUCCAAGGUGAUUGGCAUCGCUGGAACAUCUCUUCUGGUCACGUCUGUUGGUCUGUGGAAGAUUGGCUUAAGAAUUGUCGCGGUUCCUUUCCUAGCCACCAGUACAAUUGCCUAUAUCAUCGCUGUUGCAUCCCACAAUUCCAUCAACAUACCUUGGAUGUUGGGAAAGAAUUCAAAGGGGAGGUUUCCAAUUUGGUCAAGUGUACUUUUUGGUCCUUUCUUGAUACUUGCCCGGGUAUAUGCAACUAUGAAGAGACAUAUGAGGAAGAAGGAGGCUGUGUAUAACAUGAUCACUGAAGGCGUUUAUCUAGGAGGAUGGCCGUUUAUGUUGAAGCAUUUGCCCCCAGGAGACCCCUCUGUUAUUGAUUGCACUUGUGAGUUGCCAAGAAGUGAUUUUGUCCCAACAAAUGAGUAUCUUUGUGUUCCUACUUGGGAUACAAGAGCCCCGACGAUAUCCCAAAUUGAAUUUGCGGCACGCUGGGCAUGUGAAAAGAGAGCUAAAGGAAAACCAGUUUAUGUACAUUGUGCGUUUGGUCAUGGAAGAAGCGCUUGUGUUGUGUGUGCAGUUCUAGUAGCAUUGGGCAUUGCUGAAAACUGGAAGGAUGCAGAAAACAUCAUCCGAGAAAAAAGAAAGAUAAAAAUGAAUGCUGUUCACCGGAAAACCUUAGACGAUUGGUCAAAAUAUAGAGCUUCUCAGAAGAAGGAUAAAUAACUGUGGUGGUGGGGGUGGAGGAGGAGGUGGAGGUCCACCGUACAGCGGUGCCGACAUCAUGGGCUGCUUCUAGAUAAGGGCGUGUUUCUGUUCGUAGUGGAUAUGGAUCCAAAUGCUGAAGAAGAUGAACAAUUGGUCCAGGAUAACCAUAAGUGGCAAUUUGUCAGGGAUUAUCCAAGAAGAAGGGAAAGACACAUUUUUUCAUCUUCAUAUCCACCUGCAGUAGGCUAGGCAGCAGACUAAUCAUGACUGGCAGUUUAACAGUAAUCUCAUGACUGGUAGUUUAAUAGUAAUCUAGCAGAUUAAAAUACACUGGUCUUGCUGACUGAUAAGUUUAAAUUUUUUAAAUAAGACGAAUGGUCAAAUAUUGAUCAAACAGUCAACGGCGUCAUACAUUAAAAUACAGAGGGAGUACUUCUUUUCUUAUUUGAAAUUUUAGAAUUUUCAUAAAACAAAAUUGUGAACCAUUAUUUUAGUUUUAACGAAUGUUUGUAUGAUAUUAAAAAAACAUUUAUGAAUGUAUGUAUAAAUAAUUUAUUUAUUA